AUUUUUAUUAUUGAUAAAGUCUAUAUUUGUCACACAGGCAUGAAUUAAACUGAUAUUAGUUACGGUGGAGGCUGUAACAAGCCAUGACAUAUUCCAGGGUUCCUUCAAACUGUCUUGAUGCCACGGUAAUAUUCUUGUUUAAUAUCCUUUUUGUAUUUCUCAUGACCUGCAAGUGUCUUACUUCCUCAGUUAACCUCUGCUAACUUGUCACCCGUUCUUAUCGUUUUGGUUCUGUUGUAUUCCCAUAAAGGAAGGUGAGGCUGUCAGCAGACACUUAUUAUCAUCCCACUACACUGUGAAAAGAGAUGUGCAGUUUCAUCAACAUCAUGCUUUCUUCUUAAGCAUUUGAAGUAGAGGCAGCCUCAUCUUACAUGAACCAACAUGUAUUCUUUUGUAUUUAUAGGUCUGAUGAAAGGAUGCGUUUUUCAUUGCUAUUUGUUGUAUGUAAGAGAAAUUGGCAUCUGCGCAUGUAAGUGUAUGUAUUGGCUUAUCAUGGAAGUCACCUUACUAUCACCUACUGUACAGUUUAUCACACGUCAUUGCUUUGCAUCAUCUACAACACUGGCUUAUGAUAUAUAUACAUGGUUAACUAUGUAUCAUCAGGUUACAAUAUGCUCACCCUUGAACAGAUCACUGAAUACCUGCCUGCAGCUGUAUGUAUUUGUGCAGGGAUUUGUACACAUGAGCUGCAAGCACAGGUAGGUCUAGAUGGAAACUUGGAGGUGGGUAAGUCGAGAGAGAUAAUGGGAAAAACCCAACAGUUCCAGAUCAUUCAUUGAACGGUGUAGCUAAUGAAGAAUGAUUUUUGUUUCUUGAGCUGUGAUAGACCCAUGUUCUUCACAUUUAAAAGCACUCCCAGUAAGAUUCCUCAUUUUUCAUUAGUUUCUCCACCAUGGUGAUACUCAUAGUUUUUCCCAAGGCUUUACACUGCUGCUGCUUGGCCAAAUGACCAGGGAUGACCCAGCAAACCCUGUUCUGGAGAUUCAAGCAUGCAAGGCUGCCAACUGGUACAUGUCCAGCAUGGUCAGCAGCUGCUACCAGCUGAACCCAUCUUACUGCCCUUCUCCUCUGCUAGCAACAAAAAUUAAUUACUUUGGGAGCUACAUUCCGUGAUGUGCUAAUAGUUGUACAGGUCUGUUGUAAGAUCUUACUAUUUUAAAAAUGUCUACUCAAUUCAAUUUAGUUGAAGCUGAACAGAUGUGACAGAGAGACAGUACCAUGCGUGCAAGCUUCAUUUCCUCAGGAAGCCAUGCUAAAAAAAAUCUACCUAGGAAUACUUUCUGUACCCGUCUAGAAGCUUGCUGUUAAUUAUCAAAAUGAAGAAGCAGAGUGAGCUAACAGCGUGUUGAUUUAAACAAUCAGAAUCUGUAUUUCAACAAAUAGACCUGCUGAAAAGGAAAAGUAAAGUAAAUCAGAUUUGGGUGCGGUGUAACGUAAUUAGCUUCUGUAUCUGGCCUUAUAGUAAUGGUCUCCUACCCUAAAAGUCUCCCUCUUCUACCCAAAAUCUACAAGAUAUACAAAAGUUAAAAGGAGCAUUUUAUUCCUGAGGCAUCAGAGAACCUCUCAACCUCUAGGCACCCCUGAAGGAUUGCUGCUCCACCAGUUUUCCUGCCAAAUGUGCCUCCUGUCCCUUCCUGCCCCACAACAUACCUAUCUACGCCUGCUUUGCAGAGUCAUUGCGGAUUCAAUAAUACAAGAAGAUGAAAAAGGAAAAUGCAUGUUAUGGGGUUCUACUGCUGUUCAUCUUUCUUGUCCUGCAUACUUCUAAUAGACCUGUGGGUCAAUCAGAACUACGUGCAGUGCUUUGGCUGUGGGUGCAGUCUGGGUUUAUAUGGUGGUGCAGUAGUUUGUCUUUUGCCUUUUCUUUCUCCUACAGUGAUUGUAACAUUCUGUUUGCAUUUUCUGUCUGCCAGAGAACACCGGACAGAUGUUUGCAAAGAGGUCUCAACAAGGAGUCCAAGAUCCUUCCUGGAGUGAUUAUUUAUAAUUUAUCACAGUGUUUGUGCAAUUAGGGUGUUUUUUCCCCCCACGUGUAUUCCUGUGCGUCUAUCGAUAAUAAAUGAUGCGUGGUUUUAUGUUGCUGAAUCACUCAGCAUUCAGUAUGACGAUGCCUUUUGAAGUAUUGACUGUUCUAAGCGAUUUCCAUCAUCAGCAAACUUAGCUGCCUCGUUAUUAAUCCCCUCUUCCAGAUCGUUUGUGAAUGUAGUGAAGAGAACAAGUUCAAGUGCAGAUCCCUGAUCUCUUCUCUCCCAUGGUGAAAACAAUUUAUUACUACACUUCAACAAAUCAUUAAUCUACCAAAGAAUUUCCAUCCUUAUGAUAACUCAGUUUCUUUAAGAGCUUUUAGAGAGAGAGAUGUUGUCAAAACACUUUGACUUCUGGAAAUCCAAGAGCAUUACAGCAAUCCGCAUUCACCACCAUGCUGACUGCUUUCAGGAACUGUACCAUCGUCCAUUUCAUCAGCCCACAGCAGGCUGUAAACCCUACAUUUGGUCAGGUUUCUUCUUCCGCAGAUGUGACGUUAUUUGUGUACUAAAAAUAGUUCAUAAUGAUGUGCUCUGUGGAGGUGACUCAUUUGCACAUUUUGGAGUUCAGACAAAGUCUCUGUGUUAGCUCUCUUUCCUCUCCUACCUUCCACGUGUUCUCCUGGAUUCAUAACAGAAUGAUUCUUUCUGUUACAUAAGACUGAAAUGGCUUCUCAUUUUCACUUUCUUUAUGCAUAAGAGGCUUAUAAAUGUAUUGAGUUAUGGCUGAGGAAACUAGAAUACAUGCUACCUGAAAACCAUCAUAAAUUGUUCCAAAAUGAUCUUGAUUAAUUAAAAAAAAAUUGGUUUUGCUUUGUGCUAGUCCAACUAUUUUGACAACUACUUGUGCUGUAGUGCACAAGUGGGGAUAUAAUCGCACAGGGCUGAAGAUGUCUAAUAAUGAAGUAGUGACACCCAGUUCUGUAUAUGCCAGCAUGGCUACGUGAAUGCAAUACACAAAGCCAGAUGUACCAUUUUAACUGCACAAGGAUAUAUUCAAGUAUGUUUAAAAUGGGCAGCGUGACAUUUAUGUGUAUGUGUGUAGGUCUCACUGAAAGUAGUGCCUCCUAUUUAUUUCCAUGGAAACAACAACAGAUACAAAGAGCUCAA
rnacentral:lncRNA from 1 species